GGAGACGCCAUCCCUCUGCUGGUGACGGGACAUUAUUACUUUUGGUACGCGCUGUGACACUUCAAACUCGUACCGUGAGUAAUAAUGCGCUGUCAGCAGCCCGGCAGCAAGACGCGCUG
rnacentral:pre_miRNA from 13 species